CCUACGGUCGGCAGCAGUGAGGAAUAUUGGUCAAUGGACGAGAGUCUGAACCAGCCAAGUAGCGUGAAGGAUGACUGCCCUAUGGGUUGUAAACUUCUUUUAUAUGGGAAUAAAAUGUUCCACGUGUGGGAUUUUGUAUGUACCAUAUGAAUAAGGAUCGGCUAACUCCGUGCCAUCAGUCGCGGUAAUACGGAGGAUCCGAGCGUUAUCCGGAUUUAUUGGGUUUAAAGGGAGCGUAGGUGGAUUGUUAAGUCAGUUGUGAAAGUUUGCGGCUCAACCGUAAAAUUGCAGUUGAAACUGGCAGUCUUGAGUACAGUAGAGGUGGGCGGAAUUCGUGGUGUAGCGGUGAAAUGCUUAGAUAUCACGAAGAACUCCGAUUGCGAAGGCAGCUCACUGGACUGCAACUGACACUGAGGCUCGAAAGUGUGGGUAUCAAACAGGAUUAGAUACCCCUGUAGUC
rnacentral:rRNA from 1 species